GAUCUACUCCCUCCGUCCAGAAUUACUUGUCGCUCAAAUGGAUAUAUCUAGCACUAAAAUACGUCUAGAUACAUCCGUUUGAGCGACAAGUAAUUCCGGACGAAGGAAGUACUUU
rnacentral:pre_miRNA from 1 species